UUGUAUGUUCACCGUGAUCUGGCAUGGACAAGGAACAAUUAGGAUAGCUAUCUUCGAUGAUAAAAUAUCGAUACCUCUUGACUUAAAAUAUAAAAUGCUGAGAUACUGGCUCGCUUGAGAUUUGAGAGCUAGUGGAUACCGCAGACCAUAAAUAAACGUCUUUUAAGGAAAUUUCUGCACACUUUCUUUCUUUCGAGUUCAUCAUUGUUUAUUGAAAGAUCGAGGUCCCAUGCUGUACUUCAUGGGAGAGUUAUAAUUUGUUCGAACAACAUUAUCCUCGAAAGGAUAUGGAAUGCAAAAAUGUAGAGGCCGAGGGCUAAGUUGUUUUCCAUUUGGGCCUUGCUUACAGUGACGGUAAAGGCAUUUAACAAUGGACUCUUCAACCCAAUUUUGCAAUACUGUCUUGGAUCUAUAAGAACUUGAGAAGCCCUCUUCUUCGGCGAUGGUUUGAUCGAUUCAUGAUCUCUUUCGAUAUUAAAAUUUAGAUUUAAGCAGUACUAAACCACUGCAUUUCGCCAGAGUGAUGCUCCAACAGUGGAAUUGCCAGGAUAGAUACACAAUGCAUCUCCUAAGCGCCUUUCACUUGAAUAUGUUGAAAUGGUGGGCUAUCAAUACCUGAGGCUGCAUUAGACACCCUAGUUAAACUUGGUAUCUGGAGGAUGCAUUUGGAUUUGACAGAUUUAUAGGCCAGUUCAUGUAACUGCCUCUAUGCAGUCUAGUUCAAAUCGGCAUUUCACUACCUUCGUGGAGUUUGCUAUCUGUCUAGGGACUUUCUGUGCCUUUUCAUACUUUCAGCAGCAAGUUCAAAGAUUGUCUUAGAGGUUGCUUUCACCUCCAGCCAUACCACAAAUUGCUGUAAACUGGCUGGUUAAAGAAUAUACACCAAGGCAACAGAGGAAGUGAAUUUGAUUCCAAUCGUUUAGAAGGCUGUACAGAAUCUUUCCUUCUCAUUCUACAGUUUUUGUGAUUCACUAUUGUUGUUACCGACACGGUGAUUUGUUUUAUAAAAAAAAAGAUAUAUGAUAUCUUAUUUUCA